CAGUGGGUUUGUCUUCCGUUUCCCGGGACUGGAAAUUAACUCAGGUACUUCAGACUCAGGAGUGAGAAGUGGUGAUUUAAAAAGGGAGAAAUGUGAAACUCAAUUUUACCCUUGGUUGAGAAGGUACUAAUUUGCCUGACAAGUUGGAAACGGAAGGUACUCAAGGUAGAAGAAACGCAUCCUGCAGUCGUGAGGUACACCAGGCAGCUCUGCUCCAUGAAGUGCCAAGGAAAAGCCACUGUAGUCAGUAACGUCUUUGGAGGGAUCUGCCUGCAGCUCAUUUUCCAUAAGAAAAAAUUAUG